UACGUAGGGUGCGAGCGUUGUCCGGAAUUAUUGGGCGUAAAGAGCUCGUAGGCGGUUUGUCACGUCUGCUGUGAAAUCCCGAGGCUCAACCUCGGGCCUGCAGUGGGUACGGGCAGACUGGAGUGCGGUAGGGGAGAAUGGAAUUCCUGGUGUAGCGGUGGAAUGCGCAGAUAUCAGGAGGAACACCGAUGGCGAAGGCAGAUCUCUGGGCCGUAACUGACGCUGAGGAGCGAAAGCGUGGGGAGCAAACAGG
rnacentral:rRNA from 1 species